rnacentral:rRNA from 1 species
CCUACGGGCGGCAGCAGUGGGGAAUAUUGCUCAAUGGGGGGAACCCUGAUGCAGCGACGCCGCGUGGGUGAUGAAGUAUUUCGGUAUGUAAAGUCCUAUUGGUAGGGAAGAUAAUGACGGUAUCUGACUAAGAAGCACCGGCUAACUACGUGCCAGCAGCCGCGGUAAUACGUAGGGUGCAAGCGUUACUCGGAAUUACUGGGCGUAAAGGGCGCGUAGACGGCAGAGCAAGUCAGAAGUGAAAGCCUACGGCUCAACUAUAGGACUGCAUUUGAAACUGUUCGUCUAGAGUGCGGGAGAGGUAAGCGGAAUUCUUGGUGUAGCGGUGAAAUCCGUAGAUAUUAAGAGGAACACUAGUGGCGAAGGCGACUUGCUAGACAAUAACUGACGUUGAGGCUCGAAAGCGUGGGGAGCAAACAGGAUUAGAUACCCGAGUAGUC